rnacentral:rRNA from 1 species
AGAGUUUGAUCCUGGCUCAGGAUGAACGCUGGCGGCGUGCUUAACACAUGCAAGUCGAACGAUCCUUCGGGAUAGUGGCGGACGGGUGAGUAACGCGUGGGAAUCUGCCCUCAGGAGGGGGAUAACGGCUGGAAACGGCCGCUAAUACCCCAUAUGCCGAGAGGUGACAUGAAUUUCGCCUGAGGAUGAGCCCGCGUCUGAUUAGCUAGUUGGUGGGGUAAAGGCCUACCAAGGCGACGAUCAGUAGCUGGUCUGAGAGGAUGAUCAGCCACACUGGGGCUGAGACACGGCCCAGACUCCUACGGGAGGCAGCAGUGGGGAAUUUUCCGCAAUGGGCGAAAGCCUGACGGAGCAACGCCGCGUGAGGGAUGAAGGCCUCUGGGCUGUAAACCUCUUUUCUCAAGGAAGAAGAACUGACGGUACUUGAGGAAUAAGCCACGGCUAAUUCCGUGCCAGCAGCCGCGGUAAUACGGGAGUGGCAAGCGUUAUCCGGAAUUAUUGGGCGUAAAGCGUCCGCAGGCGGCCUUGUAAGUCUGUUGUUAAAGCGUGGAGCUCAACUCCAUUUAAGCAAUGGAAACUACAAGGCUGGAGUGUGGUAGGGGCAGAGGGAAUUCCCGGUGUAGCGGUGAAAUGCGUAGAUAUCGGGAAGAACACCAGUGGCGAAGGCGCUCUGCUGAGCCAUAACUGACGCUCAUGGACGAAAGCCAGGGGAGCGAAAGGGAUUAGAUACCCCUGUAGUCCUGGCCGUAAACGAUGAACACUAGGUGUCGGGGGAAUCGACCCCCUCGGUGUCGUAGCCAACGCGUUAAGUGUUCCGCCUGGGGAGUACGCACGCAAGUGUGAAACUCAAAGGAAUUGACGGGGGCCCGCACAAGCGGUGGAGUAUGUGGUUUAAUUCGAUGCAACGCGAAGAACCUUACCAGGGUUUGACAUCCUGCGAAUCCCUUGGAAACGAGGGAGUGCCUUCGGGAGCGCAGUGACAGGUGGUGCAUGGCUGUCGUCAGCUCGUGUCGUGAGAUGUUGGGUUAAGUCCCGCAACGAGCGCAACCCACGUCUUUAGUUGCCAGCAUUCAGUUGGGCACUCUAGAGAGACCGCCGGUGAUAAACCGGAGGAAGGUGUGGAUGACGUCAAGUCAUCAUGCCCCUUACAUCCUGGGCUACACACGUACUACAAUGCUACGGACAAAGGGCAGCAAGCUCGCGAGAGUUAGCAAAUCCCAUAAACCGUGGCUCAGUUCAGAUCGUAGGCUGCAACUCGCCUACGUGAAGGAGGAAUCGCUAGUAAUCGCAGGUCAGCAUACUGCGGUGAAUACGUUCCCGGGCCUUGUACACACCGCCCGUCACACCAUGGAAGUUGGCCAUGCCCGAAGUCGUUACUCCAACCCUUGUGGAGGAGGACGCCGAAGGUGGGGCUGAUGACUGGGGUGAAGUCGUAACAAGGUA